UCCCCGUUAUCCGGAGCGGUUUCGCCAGAGUGCCCAACUUAAUGAUGGCAACUGGCAAUAAGGGUUGCGCUCGUUGCGGGACUUAACCCAACAUCUCACGACACGAGCUGACGACAGCCAUGCAGCACCUAUACAGCAGCCCUUGCGGGAAGGGAUGUUUCCACCCCGGUCCACUGCAUUUCGAGCCCAGGUAAGGUUCUUCGCGUUGCGUCGAAUUGAACCACAUGCUCCACCGCUUGUGCGGGCCCCCGUCAAUUCCUUUGAGUUUCAGUCUUGCGACCGUACUCCCCAGGCGGAUCGCUUAACGCGUUAGCUCCGGCACAUUGGGAUUGGGUACCCAAUACACCAAGCGAUCAUCGUUUAGGGCUAGGACUAC
rnacentral:misc_RNA from 1 species